rnacentral:siRNA from 1 species
CCCUAUCAACUUUCGAUGGUAGG